rnacentral:rRNA from 1 species
UACGUAGGGGGCAAGCGUUGUCCGGAAUCAUUGGGCGUAAAGCGCGUGUAGGCGGCCCGGUAAGUCCGCUGUGAAAGUCCAGGGCUCAACCCUGGAAUGCCGGUGGAUACUGUCGGGCUCGAGUCCGGAAGAGGCGAGUGGAAUUCCUGGUGUAGCGGUGAAAUGCGCAGAUAUCUGGAGGAACACCGGUGGCGAAGGCGACAUCCUGGACCAACACUGACGCUGAGUGAGCGAAAGCCAGGGGAGCAAACGGG